rnacentral:rRNA from 1 species
GGUGACCUGCGGAGGGAUCAUUACACAAAUAUGAAGGCGGGCUGGAACCUCUCGGGGUUACAGCCUUGCUGAAUUAUUCACCCUUGUCUUUUGCGUACUUCUUGUUUCCUUGGUGGGUUCGCCCACCACUAGGACAAACAUAAACCUUUUGUAAUUGCAAUCAGCGUCAGUAACAAAUUAAUAAUUACAACUUUCAACAACGGAUCUCUUGGUUCUGGCAUCGAUGAAGAACGCAGCGAAAUGCGAUAAGUAGUGUGAAUUGCAGAAUUCAGUGAAUCAUCGAAUCUUUGAACGCACAUUGCGCCCUUUGGUAUUCCAAAGGGCAUGCCUGUUCGAGCGUCAUUUGUACCCUCAAGCUUUGCUUGGUGUUGGGCGUCUUGUCUCUAGCUUUGCUGGAGACUCGCCUUAAAGUAAUUGGCAGCCGGCCUACUGGUUUCGGAGCGCAGCACAAGUCGCACUCUCUAUCAGCAAAGGUCUAGCAUCCAUUAAGCCUUUUUUUCAACUUUUGACCUCGGAUCAGGUAGGGAUACCCGCUGAACUUAAGCAUAUCAAUA